AAAUUUAGUAAAUUUUUUUGUUAUUCCGUAGUUCCCGCCUUUUGAAUAUGCAAUUUUACACGGGAUAUAAGCAUUUAUUUCUGCUCGAAAUCUGUAGUUCAGGCGUUUUUGAAUAAAAUAAUAGAAAUACAUCAAAAGAAUAUUCUUCACAAAUAGGCAAGGUGGCAAAGACAAAGGGAGAGAAUACAGUGAAUAGAUUUAUAAGAAGUCUCGUCUGUUCAAAUAAAAAAAGGGGAGGAAAUGAAGGUCUAAAUCUUUUAUAGCGACACCUGCCUCAAAUCUUCCUCGUAAGGGAGUCCCUAAUAAAAUGAGACAAGUAGAUUUUUUUUCUAGAUCACCUAAGCAGUUUUAAAUAGAUCUAGCCUCCAAGCUCAGAAGGUCACC